GUGACUUUCUGCCAGCACCAGCCUUACUUCACGCCAUGUGAUCUUCCCUUUCUCUUUCAGUGCGAAGGUGCCGUGGGAACACACACAGAAUGUCACAAUGCAAAAGGGGCCCCUUGAACCAGACCUGAGGUUCAUGGAAGGCUUGGCUUCCUGAAGGAGUGACUGAAGCAGAAGAUGGAAAAGAGUUGGGCAGAUAAAAAGGAUUUCAAAAUAGGAAGACCUCUGUUGGACCCUGUACCUCAAUAAAGGAAGCUCCACCACCACCAAGCCACUAUGGCUGGGUGGACAAGAAAGAGCAGAAGGAAAAGAAUCAAGAUUUGG
ensembl:lncRNA